rnacentral:lncRNA from 12 species
UCUGGCACGGGGCAUGAAUAAGUGCCUGGGGACAGCUCUACCCCUUCUGAUGAGAAUGUGGGUUCAGAUACAUUAAUCCAGCUGUGAAAGUGCACCAGGAGGGGAUAGGCAGAUGUGCUGGACUGAGGAGCUUAACAGGUUUCCUGCCCUCUGCCCAUCUGUCUGGACUUGGGACACCACAAGUGAUGAGCUGUGGAGUGCAGGAGGUGGUGGCUGCUCCUCUUGCCAUGACAUGAGGACAGAUAAUGUCUCUGGCUCUCUGACAUGAUGCACCUGAAAUCUCCAGCCAUUUUCUACCUUCUUUUCCCAGGGAAGCACAUUACUCCAGAAGAACGAGAAUAAUUUUAUGUAAGUGAUGGAUUUCUGCUGCUCUCUGUGCCCAGUAGCUCUUCAGAGUUGGGUAGUCAGCUGGAAGGCAAUUCAGUAGGAUGCCUUUAGGCACUCUUAGAC